GAUGAACGCUAGCUACAGGCUUAACACAUGCAAGUCGAGGGGUAGCAGGGUAGCAAUACCGCUGACGACCGGCGCACGGGUGAGUAACACGUAUCCAACCUUCCCAUAACUCGGGGAUAGCCUUUCGAAAGAAAGAUUAAUACCGGAUGGUACUUUUUCAAGGCAUCUUGAGAAAGUUAAAGAUUUAUUGGUUAUGGAUGGGGAUGCGUUCCAUUAGAUAGUUGGUGAGGUAACGGCUCACCAAGUCUUCGAUGGAUAGGGGUUCUAAGGGGACAGUCCCCAACAUUGGUACUGAGCCACGGACCAAACUCCUACGGGAGGCAGCAGUGAGGAAUAUUGGUCAAUGGGCGAGAGCCUGAACCAGCCAAGUAGCGUGAAGGAUGAAGGUCCUAUGAAUUGUAAACUUCUUUUAUAGUAGAAUAAAGUGAUCCACGUGUGGAUUUUUGUAUGUAUACUAUGAAUAAGGAUCGGCUAACUCCGUGCCAGCCGCCGCUGUAA
rnacentral:rRNA from 1 species